rnacentral:rRNA from 1 species
UUCCAGACUCCUACGGGAGGCAGCAGUAGGGAAUCUUUCACAAUGGGCGAAAGCCUGAUGGAGCAACGCCGCGUGCAGGAUGAAGGCCUUCGGGUUGUAAACUGCUUUUAUAAGCGAGAAAUAUGAUGGUAACUUAUGAAUAAGGAUCGGCUAACUACGUGCCAGCAGCCGCGGUAAUACGUAGGGGGCAAGCGUUAUCCGGAUUUACUGGGUGUAAAGGGAGCGUAGACGGCAGUGCAAGUCUGGAGUGAAAGGCGGGGGCUCAACCCCCGGACUGCUCUGGAAACUGUACGGCUGGAGUGCAGGAGAGGUAAGUGGAAUUCCUAGUGUAGCGGUGAAAUGCGUAGAUAUUAGGAGGAACACCAGUGGCGAAGGCGGCUUACUGGACUGUAACUGACGUUGAGGCUCGAAAGCGUGGGGAGCAAACAGGAUUAGAUACCCUGGUA